GAUGAACGCUGGCGGCGUGCCUAAUACAUGCAAGUCGAGCGAACAGACGAGGAGCUUGCUCCUCUGACGUUAGCGGCGGACGGGUGAGUAACACGUGGAUAACCUACCUAUAAGACUGGGAUAACUUCGGGAAACCGGAGCUAAUACCGGAUAAUAUAUUGAACAGCAUGGUUCACUAGUGAAAGACGGUUUUGCUGUCACUUAUAGAUGGAUCCGCGCCGCAUUAGCUAGUUGGUAAGGUAACGGCUUACCAAGGCAACGAUGCGUAGCCGACCUGAGAGGGUGGUCGGCCACACUGGAACUGAGACACGGUCCAGACUCCUACGGGAGGCAGCAGUAGGGAAUCUUCCGCAAUGGGCGAAAGCGUGACGGAGCAACGCCGCGUGAGUGAUGAAGGUCUUCUGAUCGUAGAACUCUGUUAUUAGGGAAGAACAAAUGUGUAAGUAACUAUGCACGUCUUGACGGUACCUAAUCAGAAAGCCACGGCUAACUACGUG
rnacentral:rRNA from 1 species